rnacentral:misc_RNA from 1 species
CUGAAGGAUGCAUCUCCUGGUGGUUAGUAAUGGAAGAUGGUUUUGCAGAGGAAAAGAAACUUCAUAUGGACACAACAAAUGGUGCAUCUGAAUAUAGGAAGUUCUUGGGGUAUUUACCUCUUGAUAUCUUGUACUCAACCCUGAUGGAUCUAGUUAGUUUGUGCAGUGGAGGUGGGAGCCAAUGACAAUUUUAUUUUAUAUUUUUUUCUUGCACUAGCUAAUUGGAGAUGAUCCAGGGACCACACAUGUAACACUUAACUUUUUUUUUUUUUUUUUUUUUCUGUGAAAUUUGAUAGUUCCUAGGGUAGUACUAGUAGCAAUUGCAGUUGCACUGUCACAUAGACAAGCUAACGGUGCCUUGUGUAAUCAUUAUCAUUGCUGUUGGUGAUGAUUGUCAUAGCUGAGAGCUGACUUUGUACAAAAAAUUAAUUGUAGUUUCAGUUUACAAUGCUUAUCUAAGGAGAGAAUUUAUCUGGGAAUUGGGAGCACUAAACUCUGUCACUUUCACUCUGUGGAAAGAAUCAUUUUUUUUUUUUU